UACGGGGGGGGCAAGCGUUGUUCGGAAUUACUGGGCGUAAAGGGCUCGUAGGCGGCCAACUAAGUCAGACGUGAAAUCCCUCGGCUUAACCGGGGAACUGCGUCUGAUACUGGAUGGCUAGAGUGUGGGAGAGGGAUGCGGAAUUCCAGGUGUAGCGGUGAAAUGCGUAGAUAUCGGGAAGAACACCCGUGGCGAAGGCGGCUCUCUGGGACGGUACUGACGCUGAGACGCGAAAGCUAGGGGAGCAAACGGG
rnacentral:rRNA from 1 species